AAAGAACUGGAACAAAUGCUCAAACUGUUUGAAAAUACCCAGAAGAUAAAUAUGGGGGCUGCUGAACACAGAUAAACCAUGUCCUUCUCAGAUUUUCAGGCUAACACAACCCAGACUGUGCUGCCUAAUGUCACGGAUCCUGAGCUACCAGAGACUUGCACCCCCAGCCACCCGGAGAUGCUGCACCCACUACCUUUUACAUACCUAACUCAUAGAUCUCCAGGACAUGUGAUAGCAAGCAAGAGUGGCUUAUAAGGACUUAGAAUCAGCACCUACAGCUGCAGGUAGGGUUACGCCUGAAUCACUGCCAAUCACUGAAUCACUGAAUCACUGGCAACGCUAUUUCCUUCUUUUUGCUACAUUAAUCUAUGG
rnacentral:lncRNA from 1 species